AUGCCGAAUAGCCUCGUUGGGCAGCCCGGAGUCUCCGAGGGCCACCAGCUAUUCAGCAGGAAGUAUCAAGUGUCACUUCGGGUGAUGUUUUGGGGGUGCACACAGUGUCGCCUCUACCUGCUGGGGACGCAGAGGAUCCCGGAGCCCUGCAGAGGGGGUCACAGCCACACCGGACCCUGCCCUUGUGACCAGCCGUCGGCCCUGUCUGUCCGCCUGUCUCUUCAGUCCGCGAGCCCCACGGGCCGCAGGUCGGCACCCCGUCCACUUUGGUGCCCCCGAACCCACCGUGCCCUGAGCGUCCUCCCCGUCAGUGGGAAGCAGUCUCAAAAGAUUACGCGUGGGUGCAGCCUCCUGACGUCAGAGCUGCCGCCGGGUGGGCGGAGGAGGACGCCCACCCUCGGAUUAUGGGGCGUUUGGGGCACCACAAAGGGUCCCUUGCGCCCAAGAAAACCUGUUCCGGGGGGUCGCGGACCAAGUGGCAAACAGAGCAAUAAGCUCAGAAGAAAGCAGAGGUCUUCACGUCCUGGGUGCUGUUGGGGGCGGGGCGCGGCAGGACCGUGGGCCUUCGCGGCAGGACCGUGGGCCUUCGCGGCAGGACCGUGGGCCUUCGCGGCAGGACCGUGGGCCUUCGCGGCAGGACCGUGGGCCUUCGCGGCAGGACCGUGGGCCUUCGCGGCAGGACGGCCGCCCGCUUGGCGGGACAGAGGCGACCGGCGCAGCCGCGAGCUGCGCGUGAAGGUGCAGAACCAGGCCGUUCGGGGAGGACUGUGCCAGAGGGCGCCGCGCGGCCCCGGGACACAAACGGACCUAAGAAUCCCCCCAACGCACCAGGAGGCCCCCGCCUGCUGUCCCUCCCCUGGCCACUUCAGGAAGCGCUGUCCAGGCGGCCAGGUGGCGAGGCUCACGGAGCACCGCGCGUCAGCGUCCGCCUUCUUUUCCGGCUCGUUCCUCCAGUCCCCACACUGCCGAGGUCGGCCCCAGACGGGAGACAAAAACCUGGUCCUUCCCACCGGAUUCCUCCUGCCUCUGGAGACCCCCGGCCACCAUCUCCCCCUUGCAGCACGUCCAGGCCAGGGCCUCCCCGGUGGUCCCCAGGCAGGACAAUGUCUCACCCAAGGGGACAUUCUUGGUUUCACAACUGGGGCGGGACGCUCCUAA
rnacentral:lncRNA from 1 species